CAGUUAUAUUAGCAUGACUUAUAUCACAAGGGUAACAUUAGAGCAGAUAGUCUCUUGGUGGCAGAUAGUCUCUUGGUGGUAGUUCGUGAUCAUAGAUAGGUGACAGGAUUGCUGUUGGGUCAGGUCCCGGGGCCUUAUUCUGUCUCGUUGGGCGAGCCCGUCAUCUGCCAUUCUGCAUGCGGUCGUUUCGGGGACAUGGAGGUCGGUAUUCUUUGAAGCCGUAGCGGGAACAGUCCCCAUUCUUUCAGCAAACGCAUUCCCACCUCCAGUUCGUUGACGGUGUGUGUUCUAGCGUUUCUACAUAUGAGCAGUUUUGUCGGGUAUCCCCAACGGUAUUGUAGGUCAUUGUUUCUCAG